AAUGGGCGCAACGUGAUGCAGCGACGCCGCGUGGGGGAUGAAGGCCUUCGGGUUGUAAACUCCUUUCGCUAGGGACGAAGCUUUUUUGUGACGGUACCUAGAUAAGAAGCACCGGCUAACUACGUGCCAGCAGCCGCGGUAAUACGUAGGGUGCGAGCGUUGUCCGGAAUUACUGGGCGUAAAGGGCUCGUAGGUGGUUUGUCGCGUCGUCUGUGAAUUUCUGGGGCUUAACUCCGGGCGUGCAGGCGAUACGGGCAUAACUUGAGURCUGUAGGGGUAACUGGAAUUCCUGGUGUAGCGGUGAAAUGCGCAGAUAUCAGGAGGAACACCGAUGGCGAAGGCAGGUUACUGGGCAGUUACUGACGCUGAGGAGCGAAAGCAUGGGUAGCGAACAGGAUUAGAUACCCUGGUAGUCCAUGCCGUAAACGGUGGGCGCUAGGUGUGAGGGUCUUUCUACGACUUUCGUGCCGUAGCUAACGCAUUAAGCGCCCCGCCUGGGGAGUACGGCCGCAAGGCUA
rnacentral:rRNA from 2 species